UACGGAGGAUGCAAGCGUUAUCCGGAAUGAUUGGGCGUAAAGCGUCCGCAGGUGGCUAUGUAAGUCUGCUGUUAAAGAGUGAGGCUCAACCUCAUAAGAGCAGUGGAAACUACAUGGCUAGAGUGUGGUAGGGGUAGAGGGAAUUCCCGGUGUAGCGGUGAAAUGCGUAGAUAUCGGGAAGAACACCAGUGGCGAAGGCGCUCUACUGGGCCACAACUGACGCUGAGGGACGAAAGCUAGGGGAGCGAAAGGG
rnacentral:rRNA from 1 species